UACGGGGGGAGCAAGCGUUGUUCGGAUUUACUGGGCGUAAAGGGCGCGUAGGCGGCCACCGCAAGUCGACUGUGAAAUCUCCGGGCUUAACCCGGAAAGGUCAGCCGAUACUGCGGGGCUAGAGUGCAGAAGGGGCAAGUGGAAUUCUCGGUGUAGCGGUGAAAUGCGUAGAUAUCGAGAGGAACACCUGCGGCGAAGGCGGGUUGCUGGGCUGACACUGACGCUGAGGCGCGAAAGCUAGGGGAGCGAACGGG
rnacentral:rRNA from 1 species